UAGACUUCAUCGUGCCCGCUUGAGAAGCGGAAAAAUGGGACGCGCCCACGACAAACGAACAGUGAAGAUAAGUCGAUCG
rnacentral:ribozyme from 1 species